CUCAAAGAAUUAAACCAUGCAAGUGGUUAUAUUAACCCGACAGUUUAAAUAAGUGUUAAAUGCUACAUUAAAUUUACAAAUCACAUUAUCACGCAUACAUUGAUUUUGUUUACAGUUUAACGAUUUCAGCGUGUAUCACACAUACAGUGAAUCACUGGAAUUUUACCCAUUCAGUAUCACUUACGCAACUGCAGACAGCUGCUUAAUACAGUCACACUUGUCUUGACUUGGCGUAAUAAAAAUUUUCAUUCGAACACCCGUUCACGCGGGGGAUGACAGUGAAUUUUUUUAUUUUGUUGCAUCACGCAUACAAAAUUUUUUGAUUUCUCUGUAUCGCUUAUUCUUAAGGACACGCGUUACACCGUGACAAUUUUCUUUAUGGAUAACUCAGGGAAAGUUUGGCUAAUACGUACGAGUACAUUACCACACACACACACACACACACACACACAUUCACAAUUCAAAAUUUUUUUGUAUUGCUGUGUAUCAACUACUACUCAGCACUCAGUGGUAAACUUUGGUUGCCUCGCGCAGCCAGUUUAAAGUUUAACUGCAACAUGAGAGACAUUGAGCACGCACGUAUCGUGCCUUCGGGCACUUUACAUCACGCUGAGCAGACUUUGCGAAGUUUACUUUGCGAAGCAUGUCAUACAAGCAUCUACAGCAUCAAGUCACAGGGUUGGCAAGUGUAUUUUUGAACCUUCAAAGCAGUCACGCAUACGGAAGAGUAGUUUCUGAUCCCAUAGAAGGAGCACCGUACAAUGAGAGACCGCUCUUAGUUCUAAGGAACGCAGCAGGCGCGUAAAUUGCCCAAUGCAAGUACCCUACAAUCAAAUUGUAUUUACAUGCGUUAACAAUUUACAACACAACAAGUUUUAAUGACAGACAUAUAACACUUUCAUUUUUACUGUUACGUACACAUACGUACACAUUACACACAAUAUAUCCUUGUUCGUUGUUAUUCAGCAUUUUAUAAUAUUAAUUUAUUAUUUUACUGAGGCAGUGACAAGCUGUAACGGUUGAGUAUAAAAAUGACGAGUGUCUGGCAUUGCCGCUCUUUCGGGAGCUUGGCAAGUUGCCGACGCUUUGUGUGCUCAAUUGGAAUGCGGUGAGUUUAAGCAACUCAGAACCUUUGGACGGUGCUAGUAAAAUUUCACUGUUCGGUAUCUGAAUUUCAAGUGAGNNNNNNNNNNNNNNNNNNNNCCGCGGUAAUACCAGCUCCACUGGCCUAUACAAUCAUUGUUGCGGUUAAGAGGCUCGUAGUUGGAUUGAACUGCAAAUACGAAUGAAUUUCUCAUUCUGUUUGGAAGUUUUACGCUUAAUCAUUACAAAAUUUUUUCAUAAAUUUUUUUUGAUUUUUGCGUUCGACGCUGUUAAAUUUAUACAAUUUUCUGUUGUAUUAAAUUUAUUUAUUUUACACGGCACAAAAUAUUUAUCUGCCGCGUAUAUAUAUUUUUUUACACACACACACACGUACUGUAUAUAUAUGACGGGGAAAUAUUUUGUAUUCGAACACUCGCUUAGAAUUUAUUCUCCUUUUCAACACUGUGAACAAAUCAGAGUGUAUCAAACAUGUCGUUUUGAAUGUGCAUUGAAUGUCUUAUCAUGGAAUGUUGCACUUUCUACGUUAAAAAUUUUUACUGCUCUUUUUACAGCGCUGUAAUCAUUUUUUAGCAUUACACACACACACACACUGACUGCGUGGCGAAACAUUGCCUCCAAUACCAAAUCUAUGUUGCGGCCCUGCUUAGAGAAGAUAUACUAAUAUAUUUUUGGCGGGGGUCAUGUCAGACACACAGCACACGCACAUGUUACAUGCCACGUAAAUUAUAUUUUUACAUACCAACGGUAAUUUUUUUUAACGGUUAAAAUGUCGAUGGGGAUAGUUGGAGUCACAGUACUGCUGGGCGAGAGGUGAAAUUCAUUGACCCUAGCAAGACUACAAAAGCGAAAGCAGUGGNUAGGCUNUACUCUUUGUGAUUAUAUAUAUAUUUUUUUAUGCGACGCAGUACACACACACACACACACACACACGCACUGCACGCAUAUAUAUAUAUAUACACUUUACAAUGAAGAACGAAGGUUGGGGGAUCAAAGAGGAUCAGAUACCCUCGUCGUCCCAUUAAUUACAUCAAACGAUGGGCUCUCAAUUGCAUUUUUUAUUAAAUUGCAAAUUUCCUCAGCCUACAAAAUAACUUGGCUUGAGCUCGUAUUUUAUAUACGCUCGCCUGAUUUUUUUCGUACGGUCUCGAUGGACGUUUCAUUUAUAUUUUUUGCGUGUAAGCAUUUGUUAUUCUUUGAAACAUAAGAAUGCAUUGCGUGCACUUGAUUUUCGGAGCUUUGCGCUCAAUUCUGGUGAGAUGUAAGCACUGUGUCAUACUACCCGCAGCAUAUGUCUUCGGGCAUUUUGUCUGUCGUGUGUAGUUGACAAUAUUGGUGUGAAGCACGCUUUAGGCACGCGCUUACUGCAGAAAUGUCUGAGACAUUCCCUUCCGGGGGAAGUAUGCUCGCAAGAGUGAAACUUGAAGGAAUUGACGGAAGGGCACCACAAGAACGCGUGGAGCAUGUGGCUUAAUUUGACUCAACGCGGGAAAUCUUACCGGGUCCGGACACACUGAGGAUUGACAGGCAAUAUUAAUACGUGUUCUUUACGCGCGUAUUAUGUUAAAUAUGCUAGUCCUUUCAUGAUUAUGUGAUAGGUGGUGCAUGGCCGUUCUUAGUUCGUGGAGUGAUCUGUCUGCUUAAUUGCGUUUCACUAAGGGCCUAUAAAUUUACGUGUGUUGCGGCUCUUUGACCCCUUUCUUUUUUACCGAAGAAAGCGCGCGUCUUAGUUUUGCUUUGCUCACACAAUUAGGUCCUGAAAGCAACGAACGUGACCGCAACCUCUUGUUGCCUUUAUACCAAACAUGUUUGCUAUUUUUAACGAUACGCAUUCAUGAAAAAAGGCUUUUUAAACUAGAGGGACCGCUGUUACUUUCUUAAACCAGAGGAAGGUUGCGGCAAUAACAGGUCUGUGAUGCCCUUAGAUGUUCCGGGCUGCACACGUGCUACAAUGAAGUAUUGCAGUGAGCAUCUCAUUUUUACACACCGCAUGCGCGAGUCCAUUUAUUCACUUCGGUGUUUUAAAUGUGUAUCUCUGCGCGCGGUAAAGCCUGCUUCGAAAGUAAGUGGGUAAUCAAUUAGAAGUAAUGAUUUCCUUUUUUUAGCACACAUAUAUACGGCGUCUAUAUCCGGGUUACCUUGUUGUAACUUUUGUGUGUAUAGAUGUUUUUUCCGUAUGUGCGAUUGUCAAUUCAUGGUGGGGACAGACCAUUGUUAAUUGUUGGUCUCGGUCUUAACUAGGAAUGCCUUGUACGGGUCUUUGGUUCAACAAACCACCCGGAAUACGUCCCUGCCCUUUGUACACACCGCCCGUCGCUCUUACCGAUGAACUUCUCUGUGAGUUUGAGGGACUGGGAACGCAGAAUUUUAUUAUUCUACACACCUAUGGAAACUUAAACGAACAGUGUGGUCUAAAGGAAAGAGAAGUCGUAACAAGGCAUCGGUAGGUGAACCU
rnacentral:rRNA from 1 species